CUUUGCAGGGGUAACUCUUCUGUAAAAAAAAUGCAACAGGAUGGGAAUGCUGCAUGUUUCGUUUUAUGGACGAAAUUUAUGAAGAGUUUGUUGUCUAUGGAUAUUUCGUCAGUAUUUGUACAUUGUAUCAGGACUGAAUUGCUUGUUACUGAUCUAAAGUGUGUGCCUAUCACAACUGGGAAUGGUUCUGGUUCUGAGACACUGGAUCACUAAAAACUGAGCUAUCUCAUUUCACAAAGUAAAGCAGAGUUGUGUUAUAAAAACCAAGAGCUAUAUAAAACGGGAUAAAUAAACCAAGAGCUAUAUAAAACGGGAUAAAUAAACCAAGAGCUAUAUAAAACGGGGAAAUAUGAAACCGGGUUAAUAAAGCCAAGGGCAACAUAAAACCACAUUAAAGGGAAACUUUAAGCACCAAAACAGCUUGAGUUUGAAGUAGUUUUGGUGUGUAGAUCAUGAAUCUGUAGUGUUUUCAAAAUGGGAUUAGAUUAAGUGUUUAGGAAGGCUGUGUCAGUCGCAUGCAGGUAGGUGUGCUUAGAGCUGUAUAAACAAAGUGAUUUAACUCCUAAAUUGCAGAGAAUUGAGCAGUGAGACUGCAGGGACAUUAUUAUAUUUAUACAGCGCCAACAAAUUCCAUAGCGCUUUACAAUGAGUGGACUAACAUGUAAUUGUAACCAGACAAGUUUGAUGGACAGGAACAGAGGGAUUGAGGCCUGCUCAGUGAGUUUACAUGUUAGAAGGAGUGGGGUAUAGUGACAGUAACAGAGGGAUUGAGGGCCCUGCUCAGUGAGUUUACAUGUUAGAGGGAGUGGGGUAUAGUGACAGUAACAGAGGGAUUGAGGGCCCUGCUCAGUGAGUUUACAUGUUAGAGGGGGUGGGGUAUAGUGACACAGUAACAGAGGGAUUGAGGGCCCUGCUCAGUGAGUUUACAUGUUAGAGGGAGUGGGGUAUAGUGACACAGUAACAGAGGGAUUGAGGGCCCUGCUCAGUGAG